rnacentral:rRNA from 1 species
ACAGCCCCGUACACAAAAAUGCACAUACUGUGAGCUCGAUGAGUAGGGCGGGACACGUGGUAUCCUGUCUGAAUAUGGGGGGACCAUCCUCCAAGGCUAAAUACUCCUGACUGACCGAUAGUGAACCAGUACCGUGAGGGAAAGGCGAAAAGAACCCCGGCGAGGGGAGUGAAAAAGAACCUGAAACCGUGUACGUACAAGCAGUGGGAGCACGCUUAGGCGUGUGACUGCGUACCUUUUGUAUAAUGGGUCAGCGACUUAUAUUCUGUAGCAAGGUUAACCGAAUAGGGGAGCCGAAGGGAAACCGAGUCUUAACUGGGCGUUAAGUUGCAGGGUAUAGACCCGAAACCCGGUGAUCUAGCCAUGGGCAGGUUGAAGGUUGGGUAACACUAACUGGAGGACCGAACCGACUAAUGUUGAAAAAUUAGCGGAUGACUUGUGGCUGGGGGUGAAAGGCCAAUCAAACCGGGAGAUAGCUGGUUCUCCCCGAAAGCUAUUUAGGUAGCGCCUCGUGAAUUCAUCUCCGGGGGUAGAGCACUGUUUCGGCAAGGGGGUCAUCCCGACUUACCAACCCGAUGCAAACUGCGAAUACCGGAGAAUGUUAUCACGGGAGACACACGGCGGGUGCUAACGUCCGUCGUGAAGAGGGAAACAACCCAGACCGCCAGCUAAGGUCCCAAAGUCAUGGUUAAGUGGGAAACGAUGUGGGAAGGCCCAGACAGCCAGGAUGUUGGCUUAGAAGCAGCCAUCAUUUAAAGAAAGCGUAAUAGCUCACUGGUCGAGUCGGCCUGCGCGGAAGAUGUAACGGGGCUAAACCAUG